rnacentral:rRNA from 1 species
UCGCCAGGGUAUUACGAGCCCAAGCUUAAAACCCAAAGGACUUGACGGUGCCCCAAUCCCCCUAGAGGAGCCUGUUCUAUAAUCGAUGAUCCCCGUUAAACCUCACCACUUCUCGCCCAUCCGCCUGUAUACCUCCGUCGCCAGCCCACCGCAUGAGCGUGAGAAAGUGGGCCUAAAGAACCUUUUCCAAUACGUCAGGUCAAGGUGCAGCACAUGAAGUGGAAAGAAAUGGGCUACACUCUCUAACCUAGAAAACACGAAAGACUGCCUGAAACACCAGUCUGAAGGCGGAUUUAGUAGUAAAAAGAAACAAUGAGAGUUCUUUUUAACUCGGCCCUGGGGUGUGU